UACGUAGGGGGCAAGCGUUGUCCGGAAUCAUUGGGCGUAAAGAGCGCGUAGGCGGCCCGAUAAGUCCGCUGUGAAAGUCAAGGGCUCAACCCUUGAAUGCCGGUGGAUACUGUCGGGCUAGAGUCCGGAAGAGGCGAGUGGAAUUCCUGGUGUAGCGGUGAAAUGCGCAGAUAUCAGGAAGAACACCCGUGGCGAAGGCGGCUCUCUGGGGACGGUACUGACGCUGAGACGCGAAAAGGCUGGGGAGCUGAACAGG
rnacentral:rRNA from 1 species